rnacentral:rRNA from 1 species
GAUGAACGCUGGCGGCGUGCCUAAUACAUGCAAGUCGAGCGAACAGAAGAGGAUCUUGCUUCUCUGUCGUUAGCGGCGGACGGGUGAGUAACACGUGGAUAACCUACCUAUCAGACUUGGAUAACUUCGGGAACCCGGAGCUAAUACUGGAUAAUAUAUUGAACCGCAUGGUUCAAUAGUGAAAGACGGUGUUGCUGUCACUUAUAGAUGGAUUCGCGCUGCAUUAGCUGGUAGGUAAGGUCACGGCUUACCAAGGCAACGAUGCGUAGCCGACCGGGGAGGGGGAUCGGCCACACGGGAACUGAGACAGGGUCCAGACUCCUACGGGAGGCAGCAGAAGGGAAUGUGAGGCAGUAGGGGAAAGCAUGACGGAGCGGCGCCGAGUGUGUGAUGAAGGCCUUCGGAUCGUAAAACUCGCUUAUUGGGGAAAAACAACUUUGUAAGGAAAUAUGGCCGUAGUGACGGUACCUAAUCAGAAAGCAACGGCUAACUACGUG